GGCUGGUCCAAUGGUAGUGGGUUAUCAGAACUUAUUAACAUUAGUGUCACUAAAGUUGGUAUAUAACUCCCCAAUGCUAAAUUUAAUUGGCUUUUA
ensembl:misc_RNA Y_RNA Y RNA